UACCUUAGUACGGCGAGUGAAGCGGUAAAAGCUCAAAUUUGAAAUCUGGUACUUUCAGUGCCCGAGUUGUAAUUUGUAGAAUUUGUCUUUGAUUAGGUCCUUGUCUAUGUUCCUUGGAACAGGACGUCAUAGAGGGUGAGAAUCCCGUUUGGCGAGGAUACCUUUUCUCUGUAAGACUUUUUCGAAGAGUCGAGUUGUUUGGGAAUGCAGCUCAAAGUGGGUGGUAAAUUCCAUCUAAAGCUAAAUAUUGGCGAGAGACCGAUAGCGAACAAGUACAGUGAUGGAAAGAUGAAAAGAACUUUGAAAAGAGAGUGAAAAAGUACGUGAAAUUGUUGAAAGGGAAGGGCAUUUGAUCAGACAUGGUGUUUUUUGCAUGCACUCGCCUCUCGUGGGCUUGGGCCUCUCAAAAAUUUCACUGGGCCAACAUCAAUUCUGGCAGCAGGAUAAAUCAUUAAGAAUGUAGCUACUUCGGUAGUGUUAUAGCUUUUUGGAAUACUGUUAGCCGGGAUUGAGGACUGCGCUUCGGCAAGGAUGUUGGCAUAAUGGUUAAAUGCCGCCCGUCUU
rnacentral:rRNA from 1 species